rnacentral:tRNA from 1 species
UCCGGCAUGGUCUAGUGGUUAGGAUACCUGGCACUCAGCCAGGAGGUCCGGGUUCGAUUCCAGAUGUCGGAA